GCCCUCGUGAUGUAACGGUAGCACAUUCGACGCGUAUUCGUCUGGCCCAGGUUCGAAUCCUGGCGAGGGUA
rnacentral:tRNA from 1 species